rnacentral:rRNA from 1 species
AAUAGAUACCCUGGUAGUCCACGCCGUAAACGAUGAGUGCUAAGUGUUGGGGGGUUUCCGCCCCUCAGUGCUGCAGCUAACGCAUUAAGCACUCCGCCUGGGGAGUACGGUCGCAAGACUGAAACUCAAAGGAAUUGACGGGGGCCCGCACAAGCGGUGGAGCAUGUGGUUUAAUUCGAAGCAACGCGAAGAACCUUACCAGGUCUUGACAUCCCGGUGACCACUAUGGAGACAUAGUUUCCCCUUCGGGGGCAACGGUGACAGGUGGUGCAUGGUUGUCGUCAGCCCGUGUCGUGAGAUGUUGGGUUAAGUCCCGCAACGAGCGCAACCCUUAUUCUUAGUUGCCAUCAUUUAGUUGGGCACUCUAAGAAGACUGCCGGUGAUAAACCGGAGGAAGGUGGGGAUGACGUCAAAUCAUCAUGCCCCUUAUGACCUGGGCUACACACGUGCUACAAUGGACGGUACAAACGGUUGCCAACCCGCGAGGGGGAGCUAAUCCGAUAAAACCGUUCUCAGUUCGGAUUGUAGGCUGCAACUCGCUACAUGAAGGACCG